rnacentral:rRNA from 1 species
GUCUACGGCCAUGCCACCCUGAACAAACCCAAUCCCGUCUGAUCUCAGAAGCUAAGCAGAGUGGGGCCUGGUUAGUACUUGGAUAGGAACACCAGGUGCUGUAGGGG